rnacentral:lncRNA from 1 species
GGGCAAAGGUCGCUCUUCCGCUUUAAAUCGCGAGUGGUUGCUAGGGGCGCUCGGAGCUGAAGGCAGGUGCUGAGAGUUCGCUUUUUCGAGAAUGUGUGACCACGUCCCAAGGUUGGCAACUAGGAGAACUUGUAUAGAAAGUUGAGCUGACUGAACCCUUGGCUGGAUAGUCUCCUCGCCGACUCCCGCAAUCCCCGCCAGAGCACAUGGGUCCCAGUCUCUCUUCGCCCUCUACCCUCCCGGCGUUUCUCAAGAUCCCUGGCUCGUCCCGCUCCGGCGCGGAUUUCCUCCAGGGCUCGACGUGAGAGCCCUAACUCCAAAGUGAUGAUGAAGAAGAGACACCAGAGAGUGCUCUCCCCUACCUGCCCCCUACCCGACAAGGACAGGGUGAGAACGAGAAGGUGGCUAUCUGCAAAUCAGGAAAAGGGAUCUCACCAGAACCUGAAUGUUCGGGUACUCUGAUCUCAGACUUCUAGCCCCUAGAACUGCGAAGUAAGUGUCUGUGGUUUAAGCCACCCAGUCUAUGGCAUUUAGUUAUAGUGGCCCAAGCUAGGACAGACCUUAUGGUAAGCCCCAGAGGAAAAAUCACAGUGAGGUCCCUGGGACUGGAGCAAAGCCAUGCCACCUGCUGCAGAGAAGUAUAUACAUUUGAAGAACCAGCUACUGGUUAAAAAAAAAAAAAAAAAAAAAAAAAAAAAAAAAAAAAAGAACCGGCUACUGGUGUGAUACUGGGCCUUGGUAGAGAAUAAACGCUUAACCAUGGGACGCCAAGUAAGCAUGUGUUCAGAGCUGCCUCUUAUGGCCUGGAUUCUUUUGGUUCCAAGGACCCAGCAGCAUCUAUUUUAAGAUGGAAAUGGUACCUCUGAGAUGGAGCUCAGGCACAGUUGAGGUACUUGUAAGUUGUAUGACCAGGUAGUCCAGACCCCCGUGUCACCCCCCGCCGCUGCAGCAAUACCAUGACCAGCUGAAGGAAGAAGGGUAAAUCCUGAGUUUGGUUUGUGGAUGAGUCAGCUUAGUAUGUGGGUGUAAGCCAAAAUUAGACAGUGACGGCCUUAUAGCCACAUUCUUGAGAGGCUUUGAAAAACAGCGGAAAGGAAAAACUCUUCUUAAUGAGUAGAGUUACAAGCAUUGUCCCUGGUCAUCUACUUUGUGUAUAAGGAGAAGCAGACUGAACUAAGAAUAUGUAUAAAUAUAGAUUCUUGGGCAGGGGUCAAUGGCCUAGCCCCCUGGUAGGACACCUGGAAGGAAAAGGACUGGAAGAUCAAAGACAGGAAACUCUGGGGUAGAGUCUUAAGGGUGAAUAUACGGGAGUGGGCAUGAAAUGUGAAGAUUUUUGUAUCAUGUUUUUGUACCCACCAGGGAGGAAGUACUAAACAAUGAAGUAGUCAGAAUGACUCGUCUAAUUGGGUCAACAGGCUCAAGCACUGGCUACUUGGAACCAGCCUAAUGGGCACUGUAGAGGGUUAUAUUGUAUCCCCCCCCAAAGUUUAUAUGCUCAAUUUCUAAUCUCCAGUACCGCAAAAUGUGCCCUUAUUUGUAAAUAGGGUUGUUGCAGAUGUAAUUAGUUAUGGUGACAUCAUACCAGAGUAGGCGGGCCCCUAAUCCAGUGUAACUAGCCUCCUAAUAAGUAGAAGGCCGUGUGAAGACAGAGAUACAUGGAGGGAAGGCCAUGCGAAGAUAAGAACAGAGACUAGGCCCAUGUAGGAGAAGCCAAGGAAUGCAAAGAUUGCCAGCAAACCACCAAAAGCUGGGAGAGAGGCAUAGAACAAGUUUUCCCUCACAGGCCUGAGAAGGAACUAAGCCUGCUAACACCUUGAUCUCAGACUUCUAGCCUCUAGAACUGUGAGACAAUAAGUUUCUGUUCUUUAAAUCACCAAAUUUAUGGUACCUUGUGAAGACAAUUCUAAGAAACUAAUACAGGCACUAUAAAUGGAGCGGCCACAGUGGCAGAGAUAGAGGCUAUGGAUAGAUCCCAAAAGCAUGGACUCCAGCUUUUUAAGGCUGAUCUAGCUACUGAUGCCUAAAUGUCCAGCAUGUCAGCAAUAGAGACUGCGGCUGAGUCCCAUUAUGGAACUAUUACUCAAGGAGACAAAUGGCUACUUGGUGACAAGUUGACGACAUUGGGUCUCUUCCAUCCCGGAGGGGCCCCUGUUGCAUUCUCACAGUAAUAGGUAACUAAUUCUGGGUAUGGGUUUUCCUUUCUACCAACAGAUCCCCAGCUCACAGUACAGUACUGGGGCGUGUGGAAUGUCUGAUCCGCAGGUGUAGAACCCUGCAUAACCAAGAAUUCAACUGGGACAACAGCUUUAGAGUAAAAGAGGGAGAGAGUGGACCUGUGACCUCAUACCACACCAACCAGAAAAGGCUGACCUCAAAAAGAGCUAGAAUAGUUUUCUAAAGGUUCAAGUGAAAUACCAUUCAGAGACAACUCUGAAAAAACUGGGUACUAUCAUUCAGGAUAUGUUAUACAAAUUAAAUCAGAGGACAUUUGGAAGCCAAUAGGAAAAAUAGAUGAGUCCACUAACAAAGGAGUAAAUGCAGGAAUAGCUCCAUUUACCUUCACUACCAAUGACCCACCAGAGGAUCUUGUGCUCCUUAGACCCACAAAGCUGUGAUCUGUGCCAGAUACUGCUCCCCAGAGGGAUUGCACUCCCUGUGUUAAGGGGCACAGCAAAGAUCCCAGCAGCUAUGACUGCUGCUGAGGCACUUUAGACUCAUUAUUCUGGGGGCCAGUAGGUGAAAACUCACCAUCAUGACAAGGAUAACUGAGCCUAAUGGGUAGGAGAAGGUAGCACUGCCUUUUACAGAAUCCAUGUGACUCACUUGGGUGUCUCCUGAUACUCUCUUGCCCCAUUGCAACUAUGAACAUAUGCAGUGACUCUGACCUGAGAAGUGUUUGGUUACCAGCAGCUCAGUUCCCGCAGGAAUAAAGGUCUGGCUAAUACUAUCACAUAAGACCCCAAGACCUGCUAAGAUGAUAUGUGAGGGUGUGGGGAAUUUAGACGGAAUAGUAGAAAAGGGAGAAAAUGAAUAUCAAUUGUGGCCUCCAGACCAGGUGCUGUAGUUCAUUCUACUUAUCUUUCUCUUUUUUUUUUUUUUUUUUUUUUUUUGUCUUUUUAGGGCCAUAUCCACAGCAUAUGGAGGUUCCCAGGCUAGAGGUUGAAUCCAAACUGUAGCUGCUGGCCUACCCUACAGCCACAGCAACACCAGAUCCAAGCCGUGUCUGUGACCUACACCACAGAUCAUGGCAACACCAGAUCCUUAACCCAUAGAGUGAGGCUAGGGAUCGAACCUGCGUCCUCAUGGAUGCUAGUCAGAUUCAUUUCCACUGAACCACGACAGACACAACAGAACUCCUCAUUCCACUAAUCUUUCUUUUCUAAGUUUCUUUUUAGGAGGAAAGGCCCAUGAAAGAGCUUCUUCCCAAACUGUUAGAUCUGUGGGGCAAAGGAGUGGACUGCAGUGUUUCUAAAAAUGGGCCACUGGAUUUCCUGCUGUGCAGAGUAUAGUCAGUUGAUGGCUCCAGUUACUGAGGCCACACUUCCCACACCAUAUUCCUAACUAAUGACUGAGCAUGCGGAGUAAUAACAUAGCUCAUUCCUUCAAGACUUGGGGCUCCCCCAAUGGACCACUUUGGCUAGAGGGAGCUAUUCUUCAGAUUCAGAGUUCAGAGGGAAAUUUAAAGACAGGAGAUUUAUGCAAAGAAAACUUUUAUAGAAAUUAAAGAUAAAAUCAGAAAUUGAUGAAACAGAAAGCAGAAAAACAGGAGAGAAAAUCAACAAAGCCAAAACUUAGUAACAUUCAGAAGGAUUAGAAAAAAAAAUCAACUCUUAGCAAGACUGCUCAAGGAAAACUUUAAGAAAACACAUUACCAAUAUCAGCAAUAAAAAGGACAUCUCUGGGAGUUUGGGCCUAGCGGUUAAAGAUCCAGUGUUGUCACUGCGUGGCUUGGGUUCGAUCCCUGGCUUAGGAACUUCCACAUGCCUCGGCAUGGCCAAAAAAAAGAGGACAUCGCCACAGGUCCUAUAGACAUUAAAAAUAUAAGAAAAUAUCAGGGGAUACAACUUUAUACCAAUAAAAUUGGCAACCUAGAUGAAGUGAAAAAUUUUAUUGAAAAAUAAAGCUUGAAACUGAAAUAAUAAUAAUUCUGUAUUUUAAAGGAAUUGAAUUCAUAAUUUAAAACUUUUCUACAAAGAAAACUCCAGAUGGCUUCACUGGUGAAUUCUCUCCAACAUAUAUAUUUCUUUUAGAAAGGCAUAAAAGGCGUAUUCACACUUUCUGAUGCUUAUAUAUCACGCACUCUAUUUGUGCGUUAACUUCCCCCUGCUCCAUGCCUCAUUCAUUUAGCACAUUACGUUAGGAGUCGUAGAUAAAAAGAUGAAUAACGUUUUUGGCAGCAGGAGCUUUCAGAUUGGUGGAAGAAGCAGCCAUGUAAUGUAAAUGCCAUGAAAUAGGUGCUAAUAAAGAUUUUUAUAAAGUACUGUGAGAGAUGGGUGUGAAUCCAGGGAAGGAAAGGCUUUACAGGCAGGAGAAGUGAAACAGUGUGCCAUGUGCUGUAGGCAUAAAAAUAACUGGGAAACAGAGGACAUCCUUUCCCGGUCUUCCUUCCUGGAUCUUCUCCCCUUCUCCCCUCACAUUUUCAGUACCUCAGGGUUCUUCCUUGACUUCUGUUUUUCAGUCUCCUCCGUUUCAAACACUCUCACAUUCGUCCCUUUCAGAUAUAACUUAAUCAUUCCAAAAUAUGUUAUCUCCAGCCUCCAGCUCUCUCUUGAGCUCCAGGCCUAAGUAUUUAAAUAUCCAGAGAACUCCCCUACUCAAGCGCUUUGUUUCUCUCUUGUUCUCCUCUCUCCCCUGCAUCACCAGUCUUCUCUCCCUUCUUGGAAGAGCCCUCCCUUGAUGGCAUGUGCCUCUUCAGCUACUACUAUACUACUUUUCUUCUCCCCUUUAUAUCAUCAUCUCCCUUUCUUUCUACUGUAUCUUAACCUUUUAUGAUACUUAAAAACCUUUCAUGGGUCUUUUAUCCCCAAUAUUCUGCUGAGAUGUCCCUUAUCAAGGUCAUCAAUAACCAUCAUGUCGCCAAAUCCAGUUCUCAACUCCUUUGACCUAACGGCAGCAUUGAAGCCGUUGCUCAUGUCCUCUUCUUGAAAGACUUCUACCUGGCUUCACCCGCUACUGAUUUCCUUCUCACCUCACUGGACGCUCCUUCUUAGUCUCUUGGUCGGAUCUUCUCUCUCAUCACAGCCAUUAAGUAUUAGAGUAUUCUGUUGUUCCAUCCUUGGGCUUCUGCUCAGUUUUUACUUACAAUCAUCUGAGAACUCUUAACCAGUUCUAGCAUCUUAAAUGCCAUUGUAUGUUGUAAUUCCAAAAAUGUAUAUCUAUAUACUUGACCCCGCCCCUGAACUCCAGACUCAUAUCUCCAGUAGCUACUCUAAUUGGAUGUCUAACAGUAUUCCAAACUAAACAUGUCUAAAACCAAACUCUAUCAAACCUAAUUCCCUUCAGUCUUCUCCAUCUCAUAAAUGGCUCUAUGAUUCAGUCUGUUGCUCAGGCCAGAAGUGUUGGAGUCAUUGUCAACGUCUCUCUUUUUCUGUUACCCUCAUUCAGUCCAUUAGCACAUUGCAUCAGCUCUGCCUUCAAAAUGUAUCUCAAGUCUGGGAGUUCCUGCUGUGACACAGUGGGUUAAGAAUCUGACUGCGUGGCCCUGGUUGCCGCGGCAGCACAGGCUCAACCCUUGGCCCAGCUCAUUGGGUUAAAGGGUCUGGCAUUGCCACAUCUGUGGCACAGGUCACAGCUGUGCCUCUGAUUCGAUCCCUGAUGGAUAUAUAUCAAGUAUAUAUAUGCUUGAUAUAUAUAUCAAGUCUGAUCAGUUCUCACCAACUUCUCUCACCUAGACCCCUUCUUCCUAACUGGCUGCCCAGCUUUUACACUUCCCCCACUACAGUCUUUGGGGAGUGAUCUUCUACAGUGUAAGUGAGGACAUACCACUCCUGUGUUCAAAAACCCUCCAAUGAUUCACAUCACACUUAAGAUAAAACCCAGAGUUUUCCCCCAUGGUCUACGAAGACUUGUGAUCUGGCGUCUUGCUCUACUCUGACCUUAGCUUCUUCCAUUCUUCCCCUCCUUUAGUCUGUGCUUCUAUCACGCUAGUCUCCUUGUCAUUCCUGAAACAUAUGACAAGCACAUUCCCUGCACUGGACUUAUGCACUUCCUCUUGACUCUGUCUGGACUACUCUUUCUCCAGGAAUUCACGUGGCUCAUUUCCUCUCUGUUCAGAUGGUACCCCUUCAUGGGUACCACUUCAUCUAAAAUAACUUUCUCCUUUAUUUGCUGUGAUUUUACUCUGCUCUAUUUUCUUUCAUAGCUUGUAGCAUUACAGAGAUCAUAUCGUGUGUGCAUUUGUUUGUUGGAAAUGUGUUAUCUGCUUUCCACAGUAGAAUGUGAACUCCACAGGGUCAAGGAAUUCAUCUGUUUUGUUCAGUCACCAAAUCCUAUCAGUUCUACCCCUUAAAAUAUUUUCAGUCCAUCUUCGUCUCCGUCAUCACUACCUUUGCCUUAAUUCAGUUGCCAUCAUCACUUGCUAGGACUAUUAUUGUAUUCUCCUACUUGACUAUCUGCCUUCACCUUCUAUUGAGACCUUUCUCUCACAUGACUACCAAUUCGAUAGCACUAUAGUUAAUAUGUAUUCAUGUCUCUCCUACAUAGAAUCCUUUAUAGGGUACACGCCCUUUGCAUAUUGGGUUAAGUUCAAGCCCCUCAGCACAGCAUCCAAGUCAUCUCCUGCCACCUUUACUUUUACUCUCCAGCAGCACCAAACUGCUUAAAUAGCCUCAUGUCCUUGCCUCUGUUUUUGGGACAUACUGGUUCUUCUAUUUAGAUGCCCUUUCCCGACUCAGAGAUAGAUAAAUAUUUCUUCCUUUGGCUGUACUUCCCAUUGCAUUCAUUAUACUGCGAUGGAUUUUUUUUUUUCCUUACAUGUAGGUCUCUUAUUACAGUGAUCUCUUGGGGGAGAGAGAGUUCUAUCUUGUUGAGGGUGCAGCUCCUGUCGCACAGUAAUGGGUAGAUGGAGAUGGGAGUAGGGCGUGGAGAAUGUUCAAAGUAGAAAGGACUGUGUGUGUGAUCACUCUGAAGCAUGAGGGGGCUCGGCAUCUUCAGAAAAGAGAGAAGGACUGUGUGACUGAUCUAGUAAGGGGGAGAGUGGCGGGAGGCAAACUGGAAAGACUCUGGGAACCAGAUCAUGCAAGGCCCUUGUCGAACAUGCAAAAGAUGUUGAAUUGUGAGAAAAUGAGAAAUGGAAAGUCUCAAAAAAGCUUUAAGGAGAAAAAGAUGAAGUUUGCAUAAAAAAAAAAAGCACUUUGCUUGCUUUGUAAACAGUAGAUUGAAAGAUAUCAAGAAUGACCAGUGAGGGACCUGCUGGGCACUAUUGUAAUAGUCCAGGCAGAAAGAGAUGAUGCCUUGGCCUGGGCUUUAGCUGGGGGGGUGGUGAGAAGUAAAUAGAUUCAAGUUAUAUCUUGGAGAUAAACUGGAUCAGGUUUAGUGAUAGAAUAAAUGAGGGCGUGAGGAAGGUAGAUAACAUAACUGCUGAAAUGCAGCUGAUUUGCCAGAGGAGGGUCAAAGAAGAAGUAGCUAAGUUUCGAGAAGUUAAGUUUGAGAUGCUUGAGUACGAGACAUGUAAAGGGAUGUGCCAAAAAGGCAGUUGAAUAUGGAGGUAUGAAUUUCAGAAGUGUAACUGAGCUGGAAAAAAAACUGUCAUGAGUACACAGACUGUGUAUAAAUCAUAAGAGAACCUAAGGAGAGAUCACAGUAUAAAGAGAAGAUUAUGGAGGAUGCAUAAUUGAGAAGAAAUUCAUUGGAUUGGAGGAAAUGAGGCAGGAAACUGAGAGGGCCACAUGGACUUUAUAACUGCCCAGGGGGUGGCAGAAGUUGACAGGAAACUUGGAUCCCGCAUUGCUGUGCCUGUGGUGUAAGCCAGAAUCUACAGCUCCAAUUCGACUCCUAGCCUGGGAACCUCCCUAUGCCAUGGGUAAGGCCCGAAGAAAAAAAAAAGAAAAA